rnacentral:rRNA from 1 species
AACCCUUAUCAUUAGUUGCUACGCAAGGGCACUCUAAUGAGACUGCCGGUGGACAAACCGGAGGAAGGUGGGGAUGACGUCAAGUCCUCAUGGCCCUUAUGGGUAGGGCUUCACACGUCAUACAAUGGUCGGUACAGAGGGUUGCCAAGCCGCGAGGCGGAGCCAAUACCCACAAAGCCGAUCGUAGUCCGGAUUGUUCUCUGCAACUCGAGAGCAUGAAGUCGGAAUCGCUAGUAAUCGCAGGUCAGCAUACUGCGGUGAAUACGUUCCCGGGUCUU